UCUCUCUCUCUCUCUCUCUCUCUCUUCUCUCUCUCUCUCUCGAUGCGACUAAAAGAAGAAAUCGAUGAUGAACUUCGAUUUCGUCUCGAAUCGGAGUAUCACCGACGAGCAAGAGCUCUGGCCAUCUCUCCACCUCUAGAUCAUCAUCGAGUUUAAGUUAGGUAGUGAAAGACGUGUUCGGUUCAAGUCUUUCAAUCAGAUUAGGAUGCGAUUCUGGAGGGGAUGUUCGAGUUUCGAGUCAACAACGGCGUCAAGCGGUCGAAAUCGGCGUCAUGGGAGCAGCAAUGGGUGGUUGAAGGUCUAAAUUUGUUUAUUGAUCCGUUAAUUGAUGUGAUUUAGCUUUUUAGAAAUUAGGGUUUGUGAUUUUGUAAAAUUAGGGUUUGUGGAUUUGGGGAAAACGGGUUAUUCGUUGCUAGUGUGUAUAAAUAGGGUAAUUAGAAGGUUGUAUGAGUGUGUGGGAUGUUUCUAAGGCAUGAUAGUUACAAAACUGAAACCCGAUUCUUGAAUAUGUUUUGUGGAUUUGGGGAAAAAUUGUUAUUCAUUGCUAAGGUCUUUAAUUAUAUGAAUUAGAUGCAUCCAUUGUGUGUGUGUAGGUUUUACGGCAUGAUUGUCACAGAAUUUUAAACCCAAUUAUUGUUAUUUGCAUUUUAUCUUUUGUUGUGUUGAUUAAUACCCCUUUGGAUAAUAUUUUGUGUCAUGAAUUUGUUUAGUUUUUGUUGGUGUUGGCAUUUUAGAUAGGUUUAUCUGAGAUGUAUCUUUCUUUAUGUUUAUUGAUCCAUUUUUUCUCUUCUAUUUUACAUAUAUAUUGUGUCUGGUGAGAGGAUUGGGAUCAACUGGUAUUAUAUAAAUGGCAUUGGAUAGAAGGCAGAGGAGGAGUACUCAUGUUAGUGGAGUAUUUGCUGAAGACAAAACAUGUUCACAGGUUAUUGAGAUAGAAGAAAAUAAACAAGUCUAGUUGUGGCUGUGAAGGAUCAUUCACGUUCACGGGACAAGUAUUAAAUUGGCAAGGACUGAGUGGUGUGUCAAUUGGGGUUCACGGACACAACAAUGCAAGGAAGAAACAAAGAUCAACAAUUUGCUAUAAAUGUGAAGAAUUUGUAUAUGUUAUUGUUUACUCUUACAAUCGAUUCUAUCUCUUCAACUCUUUCUUAUUUUCACAUACACAAUUUCACAAACACAUUUCUUGUUCAAUAUAUUCCUAUUUGUAAUCAGUUAUUGUUUUCACUUA